rnacentral:rRNA from 1 species
AUAGCGUAUAGUACCGUGAGGGAAAGGUGAAAAGAACCCGGGAGGGGAGUGAAAUAGAACCUGAAACCCUGCACUUACAAGCUGUGGAAGCACAUUUCUUGUGUGACCGCGUACUUUUUGUAGAACGGGCCAACGAGUUACGUUAAGUAGCAAGGUUAAGCACUUAAGGUGCGGAGCCGUAGCGAAAGCGAGUUUUAACUGAGCGUUCAGUUACUUGACGUAGACCCGAAACCGGGCGACCUACCCAUGAGCAGGAUGAAGCGAAAGUAAAAUUUCGUGGAGGUCCGAACCCACGAGCGUUGAAAAGCUCGGGGAUGACUUGUGGGUAGCGGUGAAAUUCCAAUCGAGCCCGGAGAUAGCUGGUUCUCCCCGAAAUAGCUUUAGGGCUAGCCUCAAGGUGAGAGAUACGGAGGUAGAGCACUGAAUGUCCUAGGGGGUAUUGCACCUACCGAAGACUAUCAAACUCCGAAUGCCGUCAUCUUAUACUUGGGAGUCAGACUGUGGGUGAUAAGAUUCAUAGUCGAAAGGGCAACAGCCCAGAUCGUCAGCUAAGGUCCCUAAAUGUAAGUUAAGUGGUAAAGGAUGUGGGAUUGCACAGACAACCAGGAUGUUGGCUUAGAAGCAGCCACUCAUUCAAAGAGUGCGUAAUAGCUCACUGGUCGAGUGAUCCUGCGCCGAAGAUUUCCGGGGCUAAAACUUACUACCGAAGCUACGGCAUCAGUAAUGAUGGGUAGGGGAGCUUCCCAUACGGGUUGAAGCAUGACCGUAAGGACAUGUGGACAGUAUGGGAGUGAGAAUGUUGGCAUGAGUAGCGAGAUGUGGGUGAGAAUCCCACAGGCCGUAAACCCAAGGUUUCCAGGGGAAGGUUCGUCCGCCCUGGGUUAGUCGGGACCUAAGCUGAGGCCGAAAGGCGUAGGUGAUGGACAACAGGUUGAUAUUCCUGUACUACCGAUAACCGUUUGAGAGAAGGGAUGACACAGUAGGAUAAGCUAAGCACACUGUUGGUUAUGUGUGCCCAAGCAUUGAGGCAGUCAAAGUAGGCAAAUCCGCUUUGAUAAUGCUGGGAUGUGAUGGGGAGCGAAAUUUAGUAGCGAAGUAGCUGAUUUCACACUGUCAAGAAAAGUCUCUAUCGAGGUUAAAGGUACCCGUACCGCAAACCGACACAGGUGGGUGAGGAGAGUAUCCUAAGGCCAGCGAGAGAACUGUUGUUAAGGAACUCGGCAAAAUGACCCCGUAACUUAGGGAUAAGGGGUGCCACCAUCAGGUGGCCGCAGAGAAUAGGCCCAAGCGACUGUUUACCAAAAACAUAGGUUUCUGCUAAGUCGCAAGACGAUGUAUAGGAGCUGACGCCUGCCCGGUGCUGGAAGGUUAAGGGGAUCUGUUAGAGCAAUCGAAGCAGUGAACUUAAGCCCCAGUAAACGGCGGCCGUAACUAUAACGGUCCUAAGGUAGCGAAAUUCCUUGUCGGGUAAGUUCCGACCCGCACGAAAGGCGUAACGAUUUGGGCACUGUCUCAACAACAGACUCGGUGAAAUUGUAAUUCCGGUGAAGAUGCCGGAUACCUGCGACAGGACGGAAAGACCCCAUGGAGCUUUACUGUAGCUUGACAUUGGGUCUUGGUACUACAUGUACAGGAUAGGUGGGAGGCUUUGAAACCAGGACGCCAGUUUUGGCGGAGCCAUCCUUGGGAUACCACCCUUGUAGUACUGGGACUCUAACCAUAGGCCAUGAAUCUGGUCUUGGGACACUGUCAGGUGGGCAGUUUGACUGGGGCGGUCGCCUCCCAAAAGGUAACGGAGGCGCUCAAAGGUUCUCUCAGUACGGUCGGAAAUCGUACGUAGAGUGUAAAGGCAAAAGAGAGCUUGAUUGCAAGACAUACAGGUCGAGCAAGGAUGAAAAUCGGACUUAGUGAUCCGGUGGUUCUGCGUGGAAGGGCCAUCGCUCAACGGAUAAAAGCUACCCUGGGGAUAACAGGCUUAUCUCCCCCAAGAGUCCACAUCGACGGGGAGGUUUGGCACCUCGAUGUCGGCUCAUCACAUCCUGGGGCUGUAGUAGGUCCCAAGGGUUGGGCUGUUCGCCCAUUAAAGUGGUACGCGAGCUGGGUUCAGAACGUCGUGAGACAGUUCGGUCCCUAUCCGUCGCAGGCGUAGGAAAUUUGAGAAGACCUGUCCUUAGUACGAGAGGACCGGGAUGGACGUACCUCUGGUGUACCAGUUGUCCUGCCAAGGGCAUGGCUGGGUAGCUAUGUGCGGAAUGGAUAAGCGCUGAAAGCAUCUAAGCGCGAAGCCAACUUCAAGAUAAGAUUUCCCACCGCAAGGGUAAGACCCCAGAAAGACUAUCUGGUUGAUAGGUCGAAGGUGUAAGUGCAGCAAUGUAUUUAGCUUAUCGAUACUAAUAGGUCGAGGACUUGACCAA